GUCUUUAUCUUUCAGGACAGAGCCUUCUUUGAUAUCUGAUGACUCCUGAGGGUGGCUUAUUUAAUAACACAGGGGUUGUGGGGCCUGACUGGAAGCACCCGGCUCAGGCCUUGGGGUGCGGCUGAGCAGGGAGAGAGCUGGUCACCUUGCUUGACUGCAGGAGCACCUGGGCCCGUGCAGGGCAGGACAGUGGCCUGGCCACUCUGCAAGCUGACUAAUAAUUCACUGCAACUAAUAACUUCAACUUCAAGCUUUUUGACUUUCUUAGAGGGCACUUUGUUCAACAGCACAGGGAAGAUGACAGCAAGAACACAUGCAUUUAAACUAACAACACAAGCGAGAGAGAAGCCGUCUUCCAGGGGAGACAGAGAGAGGCUUCAGAGCACCCCGUGCCUCCUGCCCGGACUUGUACUCCAAUUAUGCCCCCGCUCUCUGGGCAGGAAGAUUGUUUACAGCAGGUUCUCAAUCAGGGAGAUGGGGGAUUGAGCCAGGACGGAGGAUGUGGUGGGCGAGAACUCAGGUAUGAGGGGUAUCGGUCUUGGAUCCUGUACAGCAGCUAUCUUUUCCAGGAACAAGGUGAAAAGUGUUUCUUACUUAACAAAAUAAAUAGAAAUAAAAAGCAAAAACGAUAAAUAAUUAUGCGUACCUGCUUUCUUAUGGUUUGCACUCUGCCCUCUGGUUACGACAACCUGCUUUGUGGAAAUGAUGUCACGCCCAGCUCUGUCCACCGAGGCUGCCGCUGCCCACGCAGGGCCAGGCCUGGGCCAGGGCAGAACUGAGGGCAGCCGGAGAGCGGUUCCUCGGCUGCCACAUUUGGGCAAACAGUGGUUCUCUCCAACAAACUCCACCCUCAGCAAGACAGAAGAGCAAUCAGGGCGUUUAUGCCAC
rnacentral:lncRNA from 1 species